GACGAACGCUGGCGGCGUGCUUAACACAUGCAAGUCGAACGGAAAGGCCCUGCUUUUGUGGGGUGCUCGAGUGGCGAACGGGUGAGUAACACGUGAGUAACCUGCCCUUGACUUUGGGAUAACUUCAGGAAACUGGGGCUAAUACCGGAUAGGAGCUCCUGCUGCAUGGUGGGGGUUGGAAAGUUUCGGCGGUUGGGGAUGGACUCGCGGCUUAUCAGCUUGUUGGUGGGGUAGUGGCUUACCAAGGCUUUGACGGGUAGCCGGCCUGAGAGGGUGACCGGCCACAUGGGGACUGAGAGACGGCCCAGACUCCUACGGGAGGCAGCAGUGGGGAAUAUUGCACAAUGGGCGGAAGCCUGAUGCAGCAACGCCGCGUGCGGGAUGACGGCCUUCGGGUUGUAAACCGCUUUCGCCUGUGACGAAGCGUGAGUGACGGUAUGGGUAAAGAAGCACCGGCUAACUACGUG
rnacentral:rRNA from 1 species